AACAUACCAUCUGAUCAGAGGUUAGCUCAAGAGGGACUGCCCAUCGAUUAUAGCUCGAUGGUAAUGAGGAUACUUUUAAUGUUGUAUAUAUAAACUCUCUGCUCUCUUGACUGGAAGAAGGAAAUACUCAACUGAAUAUGAAGUCUCGAUAAAGAGAAUAUUAUAACUUACAGUUCUAGGAAAAUAUACGCAAUUAUCGAACCCAGCAAAAUAUACGUAAAUUCCG
rnacentral:lncRNA from 1 species